UCCUGCCUCCUGACAGUGACUGUUCCCUUCAACAAGUUUUAACAGAUUUGGGGGGAACAAUUUUAUGUCCACAGCCGAUUGUGUGGAGAGCACAGAGAAUGCCCUGUCCUUCCUACGCCCUCAGACACACACAGCCUCCCCCGAUCCGCAUCCCCCUGCAGAGGGCACGCUUGCGACCUCCGUGAACCUGCAGGGACACGUCGUUAUCGCUCAGAUUCCACAUUCACUGUAGGGUUCGCUCUUGGUGUUAUACCUUCUAUAGGAGUUGUUGACUUUUUACACCAGAAAUUGUCCCAUGAGAGCUUAUUCGAGUAAUUCAGGGCAAAGCUGGGGAUGCCGACCUAUUUCUAAAUAAUCCAUUUUGGAGAAGAGCAUUUGAGAUGAAAUGGAAAUAGAAAAGAAAGAAAGACAUGAUGGAAGGAAGGAGCAAGAGAGAAGAGAAGAGACCAUCCAGGCACCCAGGAAGGUCCCUCCCCCCAGUCUCCGAAGCGCUUCACAAGCAGAGGAAACCAAGUCAGCCUCCUGCUCUGACAGAUGAAACCUUGAGGAGCUGGCUGUCCCCAGAGCCCGGGGCAGUGCUAAGACAUCCUUCCAAACCCGGGCCCAGACAGCUGGAGGGCUCCAGUUACUCAAGAGGAAACCUCUAAAUCCAAGCCUUGAUUAUGAAGAGUUUAUUGGUCAGAACUCGAAGAACUAACUCAUCCCAAAGCUGAACUGAGGAGGAGACUGAUCGGUUUCAGCAGGUUGGCGUCAGCAGAUUCCAGGUGAUGGGCAGGCAGCUUUAUUCUAACAGUCUGUUGAUUCCCAGUAACGCGUGGCCUUCCUAAAGAGGUUCCUCCCCAGGAGCCACACCUCCCGCAGCACCACCGCCCCGCACCUGGUGCCGGGGGACUACGUACCCGGCUGGAGGUGAAGUCUCGGGUCUUUGCGCGAAGCUUAUUGACCUGAGAUUCGGCGAUAUCAGCCCGUUCUUCAGCCUCCUCGAGCUCAUGCUGAGCUUUUCGGAACUUGGACUUGACCUUCGCUUGAAGUUUGUCCACCAGGUCCUGUAAUCUCAGCACAUUCUUCCUGUCCUCUUCACUCUGAAAGAGAGCACAGGGGGAGCUUCCUAGACAGGAGGGGGCCGAGAUGCUCCAGGUCCCCGGUUUCUAGAGAGGACUCUGUCGUGUUUGCACUUCACAGCGCAAAUGCCCGGGGCGUUUCUUUCCACUUGCCUGGUAAGUUAACUCCUUGACCCGCCGCUCAUAUUUCCUGAGGCCCUUGACAGACUCCGUGUUCUUCUUCUGCUCCCCCUCAAGCUCAAACUCCAGCUCUCGGAUCUGGAGGAAGGUUGGGAUGUUAGUCUGGGGCUAGAGCACGACCGGGAGAGGCCGGGAAGCUGUGCUGCUGCUGGGGUCCGUCCCCCAGGUACCCACCCUGGCCUCCAGCUUCUGGAUCUGCUUCUUCCCGCCCUUCAGGGCCAGCUGCUCCGCCUCGUCCAGGCGGUGCUGCAGGUCCUUCACCGUCUGCUCCAGGUUCUUCUUCAUCCGCUCCAGGUGGGCGCUGGUGUCCUGCUCCUUCUUCAGCUCCUCGGCCAUCAUGGCUGCCUGAAAAGCACAUCAACCCACUUAGUUGCAGACACAGGUUAAGUGCUUGGAGCUGUCGGAAUCUGGGUACCCAGAGGAACAGAGGACAAAGGACAUGGAUGAGGGGGAGACAUGCUAAGUUCCAGGGGAGGUGGGGAGCGCUUCUGGAGAACUCGCACCAUGCGUGCCCGGAAGGCUGUGCCCUGACUACUGGGCGCUGGCUCACUAUCUCAGCUGGCGGCUGCGCAGGGCGGGGGGAGCCUCACGUCGGUGGUGGCCUUCUUCGCCUUCUCCUCGGCAUUCCUCGCAUCCCUGCUGGCGUCCUCGACCUCGCUCUGGAGCUGCAUCAGGUCCCCCUCCAUCUUCUUCUUGAUCCUGAUGGCCUCGUUCCGGCUCCGCACCUCGGCGUCCAAGGCGCUCUGC